UACGUAGGGUGCAAGCGUUGUCCGGAAUCAUUGGGCGUAAAGCGCGCGUAGGCGGCCAGAUAAGUCCGGUGUGAAAGCCACAGGCUCAACCUGUGAAUGCCGCUGGAAACUGUCUGGCUAGAGUCCGGGAGGGGCGAGUGGAAUUCCCGGUGUAGCGGUGAAAUGCGCAGAUAUCGGGAGGAACACCAGUAGCGAAGGCGGCACUCUGGGCCGGUGACUGACGCUGAGGAGCGAAAGUGUGGGGAGCGAACAGG
rnacentral:rRNA from 1 species